ensembl:miRNA Mir465d microRNA 465d
UAUUUAGAAUGGUGCUGAUCUGAUGAAUAAAAAAAAAUGAUCAGGGCCUUUCUAAGUAGAGUAA